GAUGAAGAACGCAGCGAAAUGCGAUAAGUAAUGUGAAUUGCAGAAUUUAGUGAAUCAUCGAAUCUUUGAACGCACAUUGCGCCCCUUGGUAUUCCGGGGGGCAUGCCUGUUCGAGCGUCAUUUCAACCCUCAAGCUUCUGCUUGGUCUUGGGCCGUGCCGGCAACGGCUGGCCUUAAAACUAGUGGCGGUGCCAUCGAGCUCUACGCGUAGUAAUUCUAUCUCGCGUCUGGGCUUCGGUGGACGCUGGCCAGCAACCCCCAAUUUUCUAUGGUUGACCUCGGAUCAGGUAGGGAUACCCGCUGAACUUAAGCAUAUCAAUAAGCGGAGGA
rnacentral:misc_RNA from 1 species